rnacentral:rRNA from 1 species
UACAGAGGGGGCAAGCGUUGUUCGGAAUUACUGGGCGUAAAGGGCGCGUAGGCGGCCUUCUUAGUCGAACGUGAAAUCCCCGGGCUCAACCCGGGAACUGCGUCCGAUACUGGAAGGCUCGAAUCCGGGAGAGGGAUGUGGAAUUCCAGGUGUAGCGGUGAAAUGCGUAGAUAUCUGGAGGAACAUCAGUGGCGAAGGCGACUGCCUGGCCCAACAC